rnacentral:rRNA from 1 species
GGAAUCUUCCACAAUGGGCGCAAGCCUGAUGGAGCAACACCGCGUGAGUGAAGAAGGGUUUCGGCUCGUAAAACUCUGUUGUUAAAGAAGAACACGUAUGAGAGUAACUGUUCAUACGUUGACGGUAUUUAACCAGAAAGUCACGGCUAACUACGUGCCAG